CUAGGGCAUGCUAUCUGAACUCGCUACGAAAAUCGGAGCCCCGGACUGUCAAUGUAAUUCAAGCAGUACCCGCUGAAACCGGUACGGAUGUGGAGAUGCUCGAUGCCCCUGAACAGGGGCAUACCUCUGAACAAGAGGAAGAUGUCAUAAUGGAAGAGGCUCCUGAACAAGGACACCCUCUUGACGAGUUAGAUCCCCGAAUAAUUGAUUAUGAACCAAACGCGACCCCAAUGGAAGAACUGGAAACUUUCCCAGUCAAUCCAGAAGACCCCAAUCAAGUCUUGCGCAUAGGGA
rnacentral:lncRNA from 1 species